rnacentral:sRNA from 1 species
GUCGCUGCAAAAUCAGCGAACGGGUGUGGAAGCCCGAACUCUCCAGGCGUAUAAGCGCCCAUAGCCUUAGCGGGCGCUUUUUUC